rnacentral:misc_RNA from 1 species
UUCAUAUAUACUGCAGUAUGGCCUGUAAAAUACUGUUUGUCGAACGAUGCUUGCUUACACAUAUACGUGUGCAAUCCUCGUUUAAGAUAAGAAUGCUAUUGCAACAUGUGUAACGUGGGGACCGCUUGCUAUCCAUCUCCUCCUCCCCCCGUUUGCACACGAAUGUCAUGACAAACACACACACACACAUCGUUGUCACUGUGAAAUGCAUUUAGCGAGAAUUGAAAUGCUUUUCCAGGGCUAGUCCGACAACGGUAAAUGUCCAUGUCAUUUGCAA